rnacentral:lncRNA from 1 species
UCUUCAUCAUUUAAAUCUGCAGGUUCUGGCACCUGAGAGAGCAAUCACAUGCCAGGUGCCUCAACUCCCAGAAGAAAGGAGGAGUGGGGCAACUUAAGAGUUGGAUCCAAAGCAGCUGAACUGCAAACAGGGAGAGCUGCAAGGGAGGGGAUGAAGAAAAACCACUUCAGUGGUGGAGAGAAAGCAUCAAGACAGCAGGAAAUAGUGCUGACUGACUACUCCAUCAAGUACCAGUGCCGGGAUUCAGGGGACACACUGCAGCUGAAGUCUGUCAUGAAUGAGGGGAAAAAGCACUAUGGAGCAGAAAAUCAGAAGCCCUAUCAGAAGAGACCCUGCAAGCCUCUAAGUAAAUGCCGGGAACUCUCCUGCAGCAGCCAGCUUUAAUGAGGUACUGCAACACCAACCAGUGUAAUUCAAAGGCAGAAAAUCCAGUGUCUUUCUGAAAAACAACACACUCUCAUCCCAUUCUCACCAGUGCUACAGCUUAACGUGCGUCAAUUGGCUUUUAUGUUUUUGUGGAAGGAUACAGUUUGACCUAAACCACCAGAGGUAAAUG